AUCCCUUCAUUCUCCUCAUGAAACCCGACACGGGAUCCAAAUACGUGAUUCGGGUCAUAUUGUUCGUUCCGUAUAUAUUGCAGCAAUUAGGGUUUCACAGUUUGCCUCUCACUCUGUUCGCAUCGCACCCACAGAUCUUCGUAUCAAAUCUUCAAAAAAAGGGUUUUCUCCAGAAACCCCUUUCUCUCAUCCCAUCCAUCUGCCACAUACAUUCGAUCCUUCAUUCGUCUUCAAUCAACAUACUAGGUUGCAAGGUUGAAGGUUUCAUCAUCUUCUUGGAUCUAAUGUUAAUCAGCAGUUGUCUGAUUUCUUCUCAAGCUUCCACAUGUCAUGCACGCGUGUUCGAUUUCAUCAUCUUCCUGGAUCUAAUGUAGUAAUGUUAAUCACCAUUUGUCUGAUUUCUUCUCCGGCUUCCACGUGUCCUGCAUGCGGGUUCGAUUUCAUCAUCUUCUUGGAUCUAAUGUUUAUCAGCAUUUGUUUGAUUUCUUCUCAGGCUUCCAUGGUUUCGUGUUGGAGUUUCCUAAGUUGUAAUCCACAUCAACCAAUCUGUAUUCCAAUCGAUAUUGUUAGGCUGGCUGAAGUUGAAGAUUUACUAAUUUUGGCUAUCAAAAUAGCUGAACAAGAUGUUAAGUGGCAGAUGGGUGUCUGUGUUAAAUGCUCUAAGUCACACAAUAGGUGGAUUUGAGUAGUGUAGGUGGUUGUGCAUCGGUUACGACGACUACGGUUAUUUGGUACACCUUUAUUUUUCUUUCCUUUUUUGUGAUUUUUGAUCGUUUGCUUGGGGUGCUAAACGGGCCGUGUUCGUGGGUUGGCGAGUUCAUCCCAACCCGAACUCGAAAAAUUUACACGAACCCGAACACGAUCCGAAUAUUCACUUGGUGACUCAAACACGACCCGUUCACCCCGAAUUUUAUUGUAUUAUUAAUAUUUUCCCAAAAGUUAAUAUAUUAAAAUUAAAAUAUUUAUUUUAGAUUAUGAGGGGUUCUCCCAUUCUGUCUGUCGAGAUAAAAAAAGGGUCCGCUUUUCGAUGUGAUUAAUUUGUUUUAUUCUAGAAAUUGGCUCAGUAGUAAACGAGCUUGCUCGGCUUGGCUAUGUUUAUCGAUGGUGUUUUAUGCAGUACCUGGAUGAGAGUGUUUUACCAAUGAUUCGUCUCGGUUUAGUCGACUUGGAUCUUUUGAUUACGUACUUGAGCAUGAUAUCAUUCCUCUACUGUGGCGUUAUCGUUUUAUAAAGUUUGAUUUUACUCGCUUUUUAAUCCGUUAAUUUAUAGUUAUUUACACAAGUUUUUGAUGUAUUGUUUAGGAUUUACGGUUUAUUGGUUAAGAUGUAUUUAGAUUUUAAAGUUUUGUGUUUACAAGUCCUGUCAAUGAAUCAAGAAAUUAGCUCGCAUCUAUUCUUUUUGUCAUCCAGCCAUCCAGGUUUCUCUGUUUUUUAUUUCUUCUGAGUGCUUACGAGUAAACAAAAGUAGUUAUAUUCUAGCUUCGUAUUUAAUUAUUUGUAUGGUGGUUCCUCAAUUGUUAUAACGAUUAACGGGGAAUACAUGUGAGUUUUGGUCCUCACUUUUGCCUAGAACAUCAUAUGACAUUAAUCUUGAUUGAGAGAGCUAGAACCUAAAUGAUCAGGGUUAAAUAUGUAUGAUGUCAGGUCACUACUUGCAGAUAGAUAAUUUUGCAUCACAUGACAUUAAUCUUAAUUUUUUAGUAGACAUGCAAAGUCAAAGAGCAAACUUAUGUGGGCGUGAAUUGAUUAUUAUGCAAAUGUUCCUUUGUGAAUAAUUAAUAUGCGAAGAAUGGGUUAUUACAUUGCAUAUAUUUUACAAAAUUUCGUUGAAUUAAAAAAUUAUGUUGGAUAGUGAUAACUGAAAUUGAAGGACAUGUGGUAAUAAGUGGUGUAACAGGCUAAAUCCACUUCAUCUUCAAUCAAGAUUAGAAGCGACCUGGUAAUGUAUUGUUUAGUGUAACGAUUUGGGUAUUUUUUUCUUGAUUGAUGUUCUUUCUGUACAGUUUCAUCAUGUUUGUUCCUCGAUUUUGUUAGGUUGUACAGAACAUAAAGUCGGAGGGUUGAAGUUUAGGACCAGAAGAAUGAGAAAGAUCAAAAUUGUUUCACUAGGUUGAAUAUUUAAUGGUGGUGGCGGCUGCGAUAUUAGACAACUCGACCAUUGGGCAGCCGUUCGAACAGGAAUUCUUGAAGACGGCUUUGUAUAAGGUAUUUAUCGGUUUUAUUUGAAUAAUUAGUUGAUUUUGAAUACAAAUAUUUAGUUAACGAUGGUGAAGUGUUUAAUUUGAAUUUGAUUGUUGAUUUUGAGCUUUAAUUAUUAUUGUGUUUUUGUAGGUUGAUUUGGGGCUGAUAAAAUA